CGGACGGGUGAGUAACGCGUAAGAACUUGCCCUUUAGACUGGGAUAACAGAGGGAAACUUCUGAUAAUACUGGAUAAGUUAGUAUAUCGCAUGAUAUGCAAAUGAAAGCUACGGCACUAAAGGAGAGCUUUGCGUCCUAUUAGCUAGUUGGUAAGGUAAGAGCUUACCAAGGCGAUGAUAGGUAGCCGGCCUGAGAGGGUGGACGGCCACAAGGGGACUGAGAUACGGCCCUUACUCCUACGGGAGGCAGCAGAC
rnacentral:rRNA from 1 species